CUAGUAAGUACUCCUACUUCUAGUUUCCGAAAUCAAAACCCUAGCUGUAUUCACAACUGCUAACUCCGUGUAUCCGCUCUGAUCACGAUAACCUUCAUCACACUCUUUUCAACUCGUGCUCAUGGACCAAAAGUUAACGGACCAACCGGUUCGGCUAACCUUUUCGUUUAUAAAUACUCCGUACUACUCUCAGCAUUUUCAUCUCUCUCUCUUGUGCCAGUCACAGAGUUCUUGAUUCGAAUUCGAAUUCUCAAAAAGAUCUCAGCCAGAAUUUCUUUGUUGUUCUUCUAUAUCGAUUAGGGUUUGGGUUGUCAAAUGGGCAUUUCUUUAUCACGGUUAUGGGAACUCUCAGUUGGUAGUGGUUUGUUGACCAAUCUCUUGGAUUACGGUCAGAAGAUUCUUUAUGGAGAAAAGAAAAACAAGUUUACUUGGAACAAUACUCUGAUUUGUCCUUAUAAAGGUUACGAAUUCUUUAUUUCUUCAGAAGUGGAUUCAUCCACAGGUACCUUUCGGAUAGGCUUCCAAAGAAAGAUGACAUCUGUGAAUCCCCAAAAUCUGGUGAAACUCAAUCUGGAAAUGAGGGUUGUAGUACUGAAGCUGGGAAAAAGGGGAAGACUCGAGAAGCUGAGAGUUCCACAGAAGGAAAGCUUCAAGAAAGUCAGAAGAAGGCCCAGGAGAAUCCUGGUUUUGUAGAAUCCAUUCCAUAUUCUCUUGCAGCUUCUUCAUCACUGUUUCCCCUGUCUGUCAAGAUUGAAAGCUCAUCCGAGUUGUUUGCCGGACUGAAGUGGAUCUCUACUAUUGAGUGGUCCGAAAUGCAAGCAGAGGAUCGAGCAAAGAUCAGUAAAGUGAAACAAGACAGGGAGAAUGCAAAAAAAGAGGAAGCAGAAGAGAAAAAGAAAGAAGAGAUGGAAAGAGCUGCAAAGAGAGAGAGAGAAGAGAGAGAGAACCCAACAACAAAUGCAAAGAAUGUGGACAAGGAAGAAGGAAGCAGAGAGAGAGAAGCAGGAGAAAAAGAAAUCUAAGGUGUUUUUGAAUAAUCUGAGGAGAAUGGUUGAUGAGUUGUGACUAUGCAGAACUGCCCCCUUUCAGGUCACCGUCCUGUUUUUUACAAUGAACAUGAAAACUGUUACUUUUAAUGUACAUUUUGAUAUAGCUGUAUAAUUGACAUGUUUUUAGAAAAUACUCAUUCAAUUACUCUUGUUCAAUUACAAGCUGAGGGUGUAUUCUACAGACAAUAGAUUCAAGUUCCAGAAGAUUUGAUUUUCAUAU